rnacentral:rRNA from 1 species
GUCGACCGGCGCACGGGUGAGUAACGCGUAUCCAACCUGCCUCUGACCAAGGGAUAACCCGUCGAAAGUCGGACUAAUACCUUAUGCAGUCGUCGGAAGUCAUCUGAUGACGACGAAAGAUUUCAUCGGUGAGAGAUGGGGAUGCGUCUGAUUAGCUUGUUGGCGGGGUAACGGCCCACCAAGGCGACGAUCAGUAGGGGUUCUGAGAGGAAGGUCCCCCACAUUGGAACUGAGACACGGUCCAAACUCC